rnacentral:rRNA from 1 species
UUGUGUGAAUACAUAGCACAUUCGAGGUAGACGCAGAGAACUGAAACAUCUAAGUACCUGCAGGAAGAGAAAGAAAAUUCGAUUCCCUGAGUAGCGGCGAGCGAAACGGGAAAAGCCCAAACCAGCAAGCUUGCUUGUUGGGGUUGUAGGACUCCAAUAUGGUAGUUCUUUCAGAUAGUCGAAUGACUUGGAAAAGUCAGUCAAAGAGGGUAAAAACCCCGUAGACGAAAUGUGGAAGACACCUAGGAGGAUCCUGAGUACGGCGGAACACGAGAAAUUCCGUCGGAAUCCGGGAGGACCAUCUCCCAAGGCUAAAUACUCCCUAGUGACCGAUAGUGAACCAGUACCGUGAGGGAAAGGUGAAAAGCACCCCGGAAGGGGAGUGAAAUAGAACCUGAAACCGUGUGCCUACAACAAGUCAAAGCCCGUUAAUGGGUGAUGGCGUGCCUUUUGUAGAAUGAACCGGCGAGUUACGAUUGCAUGCGAGGUUAAGUUGAAGAGACGGAGCCGCAGCGAAAGCGAGUCUGAAUAGGGCGUUUGAGUAUGUAGUCGUAGACCCGAAACCAUGUGAUCUACCCAUGUCCAGGUUGAAGGUGCGGUAAAACGCACUGGAGGACCGAACCCACGUACGUUGAAAAGUGCGGGGAUGAGGUGUGGGUAGCGGAGAAAUUCCAAACGAACUUGGAGAUAGCUGGUUCUCUCCGAAAUAGCUUUAGGGCUAGCCUCGGAAUUGAGAAUGAUGGAGGUAGAGCACUGUUUGGACUAGGGGCCCAUCUCGGGUUACCGAAUUCAGAUAAACUCCGAAUGCCAUUCAUUCAUAUCCGGGAGUCAGACUGUGAGUGAUAAGAUCCAUAGUCGAAAGGGAAACAGCCCAGACCACCAGCUAAGGUCCCAAAAUAUAUGUUAAGUGGAAAAGGAUGUGGGGUUGCACAGACAACUAGGAUGUUGGCUUAGAAGCAGCCACCAUUUAAAGAGUGCGUAAUAGCUCACUAGUCGAGUGACCCUGCGCCGAAAAUGUACCGGGGCUAAACAUAUUACCGAAGCUGUGGAGUACACCUUUAGGUGUAUUGGUAGGAGAGCGUUCUAAGGGCGUUGAAGGCAGAUCGUGAGGACUGCUGGAGCGCUUAGAAGUGAGAAUGCCGGUAUGAGUAGCGAAAGACAGGUGAGAAUCCUGUCCACCGAAUGACUAAGGUUUCCUGGGGAAGGCUCGUCCGCCCAGGGUUAGUCGGGACCUAAGCCGAGGCCGACAGGCGUAGGCGAUGGAUAACAGGUUGAUAUUCCUGUACCCGUUGUUUUUGUUUGAGCAAUGGAGGGACGCAGGAGGCUAAGGAAUGCAGACGAUCGGAAAUGUCUGUCCAAGCAGUAAGUCUGAAGAGGA